GUGGGGAAUUUUGGACAAUGGGCGAAAGCCUGAUCCAGCAAUGCCGCGUGCAGGAUGAAGGCCUUCGGGUUGUAAACUGCUUUUGUACGGAGCGAAACGACUCUUCUUAAUACGAGGGGUUAAUGACGGUACCGUAAGAAUAAGCACCGGCUAACUACGUGCCAGCAGCCGCGGUAAUACGUAGGGUGCGAGCGUUAAUCGGAAUUACUGGGCGUAAAGCGUGCGCAGGCGGUGAUGUAAGACAGAUGUGAAAUCCCCGGGCUCAACCUGGGACCUGCAUUUGUGACUGCAUCGCUAGAGUACGGUAGAGGGGGAUGGAAUUCCGCGUGUAGCAGUGAAAUGCGUAGAUAUGCGGAGGAACACCGAUGGCGAAGGCAAUCCCCUGGACCUGUACUGACGCUCAUGCACGAAAGCGUGGGGAGCAAACAGGAUUAGAAACCCGGGUAGUCC
rnacentral:rRNA from 1 species